rnacentral:rRNA from 1 species
CCCCGAGGAAAAGAAAUCAACCGAGAUUCCCCCAGUAGCGGCGAGCGAACGGGGAGGAGCCCAGAGCCUGAAUCAGCAUGUGUGUUAGUGGAAGCGUCUGGAAAGGCGCGCGAUACAGGGUGACAGCCCCGUACACAAAAGCGCAUGUGCUGUGAGCUCGAUGAGUAGGGCGGGACACGUGGUAUCCUGUCUGAAUAUGGGGGGACCAUCCUCCAAGGCUAAAUACUCCUGACUGACCGAUAGUGAACCAGUACCGUGAGGGAAAGGCGAAAAGAACCCCGGCGAGGGGAGUGAAAAAGAACCUGAAACCGUGUACGUACAAGCAGUGGGAGCACCCUUUGGGGUGUGACUGCGUACCUUUUGUAUAAUGGGUCAGCGACUUAUAUUCUGUAGCAAGGUUAACCGUAUAGGGGAGCCGGAGGGAAACCGAGUCUUAACCGGGCGUUAAGUUGCAGGGUAUAGACCCGAAACCCGGUGAUCUAGCCAUGGGCAGGUUGAAGGUUGGGUAACACUAACUGGAGGACCGAACCGACUAAUGUUGAAAAAUUAGCGGAUGACCUGUGGCUGGGGGUGAAAGGCCAAUCAAACCGGGAGAUAGCUGGUUCUCCCCGAAAGCUAUUUAGGUAGCGCCUCGUGAAUUCAUCUCCGGGGGUAGAGCACUGUUUCGGCUAGGGGGCCAUCCCGGCUUACCAACCCGAUGCAAACUGCGAAUACCGGAGAAUGUUAUCACGGGAGACACACGGCGGGUGCUAACGUCCGUCGUGAAGAGGGAAACAACCCAGACCGCCAGCUAAGGUCCCAAAGUCAUGGUUAAGUGGGAAACGAUGUGGGAAGGCCCAGACAGCCAGGAUGUUGGCUUAGAAGCAGCCAUCAUUUAAAGAAAGCGUAAUAGCUCACUGGUCGAGUCGGCCUGCGCGGAAGAUGUAACGGGGCUAAACCAUGCACCGAAGCUGCGGCAGCGACACUCAGGUGUUGUUGGGUAGGGGAGCGUUCUGUAAGCCUGCGAAGGUGUGUCGUGAGGCAUGCUGGAGGUAUCAGAAGUGCGAAUGCUGACAUAAGUAACGAUAAAGCGGGUGAAAAGCCCGCUCGCCGGAAGACCAAGGGUUCCUGUCCAACGUUAAUCGGGGCAGGGUGAGUCGACCCCUAAGGCGAGGCCGAAAGGCGUAGUCGAUGGGAAACGGGUUAAUAUUCCCGUACUUGGUGUUACUGCGAAGGGGGGACGGAGAAGGCUAUGUUGGCCGGGCGACGGUUGUCCCGGUUUAAGCGUGUAGGUGUGUGUUCCAGGUAAAUCCGGUUCACUUUAACACUGAGGCGUGAUGACGAGGCACUACGGUGCUGAAGCAACAAAUGCCCUGCUUCCAGGAAAAGCCUCUAAGCAUCAGGUAACAUCAAAUCGUACCCCAAACCGACACAGGUGGUCAGGUAGAGAAUACCAAGGCGCUUGAGAGAACUCGGGUGAAGGAACUAGGCAAAAUGGUGCCGUAACUUCGGGAGAAGGCACGCUGACACGUAGGUGAAGUGAUUUACUCACGGAGCUGAAGUCAGUCGAAGAUACCAGCUGGCUGCAACUGUUUAUUAAAAACACAGCACUGUGCAAACACGAAAGUGGACGUAUACGGUGUGACGCCUGCCCGGUGCCGGAAGGUUAAUUGAUGGGGUCAGCGCAAGCGAAGCUCCUGAUCGAAGCCCCGGUAAACGGCGGCCGUAACUAUAACGGUCCUAAGGUAGCGAAAUUCCUUGUCGGGUAAGUUCCGACCUGCACGAAUGGCGUAAUGAUGGCCAGGCUGUCUCCACCCGAGACUCAGUGAAAUUGAACUCGCUGUGAAGAUGCAGUGUACCCGCGGCAAGACGGAAAGACCCCGUGAACCUUUACUAUAGCUUGACACUGAACAUUGAGCCUUGAUGUGUAGGAUAGGUGGGAGGCUUUGAAGUGUGG